rnacentral:pre_miRNA from 15 species
UCUCCAGCCGGGUCGCUGUUUCCUACUUGAGGAGAAAUUACCCUUGGUGUGUUGGCUUUAUCACGACAAAUCAUCCAAGGACAAUUUCUUGUUGAGUAUCAAAUCCUGCCUCAGCGAUUUGUA